AUGAGAGCUCUGGCAGCUUCCUGCCCAUGCCAGAACGACGCCGUGGCCCUAAGGGGGACCCAGGCGAGCGGGGCCCCCCAGGCAAGGAGGUGUGUGUCUGCCUCAGUGGGGGUGUCCUGGGGACAGCAUCAUGGCACAGCUAACAACAUUCACUCUUCUGCUCCUCCAGGGCCCCAUUGGCUUUUCUGGAGAACGUGGGCUGAAGGGAGAGCGUGGAGAUCCAGGCCCACAGGGGCCACCAGGCCUGGCCCUUGGAGAAAGGGGCCCCCCUGGACCUCCUGGCCUUGCAGGGGAGCCUGGAAAGCCUGGCAUUCCUGGGCUCCCAGGCCGGGCUGGGGGCGCGGGGGAGGCAGGAAGACCAGGAGAGAGGGGAGAACGGGGAGAGAAAGGAGAACGCGGGGAACAGGUGAGCUGGGAGGGCUGCAGGGGUGGGCCUGCCUGGGCACCGCAUUGGGGCAGCCCUGCCAUUUCCUUCUUUUCCACAGGGCAGAGAUGGCCCUCCUGGCCUCCCUGGACCUCCUGGCCCCCCUGGCCCCAAGGUGGCUGUGGAUGAGCCAGGUCCUGGACUCUCUGGAGUUCAAGGACCUCCUGGAUUCAAGGGCGCAAAGGGGGAGCCAGGCAGUGACGGCGACCAAGGCCCCAAGGGAGACAGGGGUAUGCCAGGAAUCAAGGGAGACCGGGGAGAGCCUGGACAGAAGGGGCUCGAUGGCAGCCCGGGUCUACCAGGAGAGCGUGGUGUGGCUGGACCUGAAGGGAAGCCAGGUUUGCAAGGUCCGAGGGGGACCCCUGGCCCAGUGGUGA
rnacentral:lncRNA from 1 species